CGCGGGAUGGAGCAGUUGGCAGCUCGUCGGGCUCAUAACCCGAAGGUCACAGGUUCGAGUCCUGUUCCCGCAACCA
rnacentral:tRNA from 28 species